rnacentral:rRNA from 1 species
CCGCACAAGCGGUGGAGCAUGUGGUUAAUUCGAAGCAACGCGAAAACCUUACCAGGUCUUGACAUCCCGAUGCUAUUCUAGAGAUAGAAAGUUACUUCGGUACAUCGGUGACAGGUGGUGCAUGGUUGUCGUCAGCUCGUGUCGUGAGAUGUUGGGUUAAGUCCCGCAACGAGCGCAACCCCUAUUGUUAGUUGCCAUCAUUCAGUUGGGCACUCUAGCGAGACUGCCGGUAAUAAACCGGAGGAAGGUGGGGAUGACGUCAAGUCCUCAUGGCCCUUAUGACCAGGGCUACACACGUGCUACAAUGGCCGGUACAAAGAGUUGCGAGACCGCGAGGUGGAGCCAAUCUCAGAAAGCCGGUCUCAGUUCGGAUUAGAGUCUGCAACUCGACUCUAUGAAGUUGGAAUCGCUAGUAAUCGCGGAUCAGCACGCCGCGGUGAAUACGUUCCCGGGCCUU